rnacentral:rRNA from 1 species
GAUGAACGCUGGCGGCGUGCCUAAUAAAUGCAAGUCGAGCGAACGGGCGAGAAGCUUGCUUCUCUGAUGUUAGCGGCGGACGGGUGAGUAACACGUGGAUAACCUACCUAUAAGACUGGGAUAACUUCGGGAAACCGGAGCUAAUACCGGAUAAUAUUUUGAACCGCAUGGUUCAAAAGUGAAAGACGGUCUUGCUGUCACUUAUAGAUGGAUCCGCGCUGCAUUAGGUAGUUGGUAAGGUAACGGCUUACCAAGGCAACGAUGCAUAGCCGACGUGAGAGGGUGGUCGGCCACAUGGGAGGGUGGCCACCGACCUUGCUCCUGCGGGAGGCCGCAGUAGCGAAUCGGCCGCAGCGGGCGGAAACCUUACGCAGCAGCCCGGAGUGAGUGGCGACGGUGCUCGGAGCGGAAAGAUGGGUUACGGGUGAAGAACCGCUUUCGAAGGAACUGAGGCCAUAGUGACGGUACCGAGUCAGAAAGCCCCGGCUAACUACGUG